rnacentral:rRNA from 1 species
GACGAACCGAGCGAACGUUGUUCGGAAUCACUGGGCUUAAAGGGCGCGUAGGCGGGCCGCCAAGUCCGUGGUGAAAUCCCCCGGCUCAACCGGGGAAGUGCCUCGGAUACUGGCGGCCUCGAGGGGGGGGUAGGGCGUGCGGAACUUCCGGUGGAGCGGUGAAAUGCGUAGAUAUCGGAAGGAACACCGGUGGCGAAAGCGGCGCGCUGGACCCCAUCUGACGCUGAGGCGCGAAAGCCAGGGGAGCAAACGGG